GGGUGUGGGAGGAGCUGCAGGAUCUUGGGGGGCUUCCCUAGUCCUAGGGAAGGGACAGAGCUCCCUCCGGGUGCUGAUGAGUCUAGGAGGGCUUGGAAAGGCUCCUGCUGCCUCCCCAAGUGUGUGAGCCUGACUGGUGAGAGCAGGGGUGUGAUUUUUUUUAACAAAUAGUUUGCUUUCCAAAAAAUAUAGGUCUGUGAUGAGUGGCAAUAUUUAUUAAUUUGGAUUUAAUCUGGUGACUAGUGGAACAAAAUACUAAAAGUGUUUUGAAAGGGAUAUUUUUGGCAAAACAAAGGCUUUGUUUUAACUUGGUGAAAAUGAAGCAUUUAAGCCUUCUGUUUUGGAGAGAUGCUCUGAUUUGAGAUAAAACUCAGUUUGGUUAACAAAAGAAAGUGGAAGGGGUGAGAAGGAAAAGCUGCAUCCAAACCUAGUGGAGCAGGUAACUCCCUCGAGGGGGUAGCGAGGAGGCUGUGGUCAGGGCACUGGCAGCACCUGCCUCGGCACAGAGGGCUGGGCACAUGUUAACGCCAAGCAGCUCAGCGUACAAAGACGUGGCCCCAGGGGACUGCAGCUGGCAGCUGCCUGCGCUGCGGUGAGCAGUGCUGGGGCAGGUGAGGGCACUUGUGCCAGGGCUCCGUGCCCCCUCUGUUAUCUCCUGCUCUUCCUGCUGCCCCCUGCUCUGUCCUCCUUUGACUCCACGGCGCAGAGUUCAGCUCCGCACUGUGAGCGUUGUCUGAGUGUGGCGUCUCAUCUCAACAUUUGGAAAAAAACACAACAACAACAGAGAAAAACAGACUGAAGAGAUGUGUUGAUUCAGAAGCUGCGCUCCUGCUAUGGAGCUUAACCGAGGAAGGGGGGGAAGAUUCCAGCUAACUAGUUGUACCGUGUUUCUAUGGCAGCCGGAGUUGGAAAAGCAAACAGGUUUUGGGGAAGGGCUGCUCCUCUCCUGGGAAGUUGUCUGCUAGGAAUAACUCCAGAAAACAGAGGUGGGUGAGAGACCAGCUGCAGCGAUGCUGCUGCUUCCUUGCCCCAAGGCCGCGGAGAGGAGGCGGGGUGGCACGGUGCUGCAGUGGCCCCUGAUGAAAUAUUGAAAACCAAGGGAAGCUGGCAGGCUGUGAGAGCACCUCGGCUUGGGCUGAUAAAGCCACUGAAGCCCUUGGCUCCCCAGCAGUGUGCUCCUGGCUCCCUGCACCCAGCAGGAGCUGCAGCCGCUCCACCAGCUCCGGCCGGCGCUGGCUCUGCAGAGGGACCGUCACAGCGGCUGGGGGUCAUGCCCAAGUGACACAGACAGCUCAACUGCCCGUGCUUAUUUCUAAAACUGGGAGAGACAAAGAGCAGCGUUGCUCUGGAAAGCUGCUUGAAUGAAGCAGGGGGAAGUGAAGGCGUUCCCACCGGCCCGCUGCAGUCUCUGUCGUGGUGCUCUUUGGGCUCUCUGCUCUGCUUACAGCCCCUUCGCUCGUUUGUCGUCCUCUUUAACAGCAGCACUCCCAGGCACUCACUGAUGAAGUUCUGUGACAGCCUAACCCCUCCUCACCAUUCAUGAAUGGAUGAAACAGUGCUAGGAAAAAAAAAAAAGAAUUUGGGGCACGUUGUUUUGUCAUUGGGUGCUGGGAAAUGUGUGCCUGCUUUGUAGCCUGCUUUGUAACCUACUCAGAAAUAAAGUAAGCCACGCUCAUGGAGGGAGAACGCUCCAGGUCUCCAGCUGAAGGAGUCUCUGAAGGCUCAGGCUCUCACCUGGACUCCUUUCCAGGGGAUGCAGCAGUGUGAGGACAAGCAGCUUGCUAGCUCUGCCUGUGGUCAGGGACUCUUUCUCUCCAUCUCCUCCUGUCAGACUGAAUGCCCAUUUGGCACGUGUGGAUGUUGCUCUGCCUGGUGUCCAGGGCAAGGGCAUGUUGCAAGGCUCUGCUGUAGGAGUCAGAAGGACAUUCAUACCUUUGUCCAUUUUUCUUGGGAACUGCUGCUAAAACGAGAUGAAGCUGAUAGAAGUACGUGUCCCUGAGCACACCGUCUUCAAGGCUUUCUCCGGGGAAUUGAAAUGCCGCUCCGGGAGGCAGCUAAUCCAGCAGCAUCUUGGCUGUUGUGUCAACCUCAUCUCCAGCGCCUGCUUGUUGCACCAGAUGCUUCUCCGCUUCUCUCCUUGCCUCUUCCCCAGCGUUUCCCUCGGAGCCUCUCCCCUUCCAAGGCCGCCCUCUCCCAGCCCCCAGCCCCUUCCUCGCCCUGCAGGCCAGGGCUUGUUCCCUGUAUCUCUGGGCCAUUGCCUCCUCCUCUCUCCCUGUUUUGGGCAGGGUCUCCCAGGGACAAGCCCUUGCAGUGCCAGAGGGAACCUCCCAAGCUUCCCACAAGCGAGCAUCUCCCUGGGCCCACAUCCUUUGGCAGACCCGUGGCCAGGGCUGGGGGUGGCUGUGAGGACAGGUCAUGGUUUUGAGACACAGUGCAGGAAAGUAAACCUGCUUUUUGUCUGCAAGGAAAACCCUCAUCAAUACCUGAUUUUAAGAACAAGCCUCCUGAAACUUAGGCUUUUCCAGCUUCCCUCACACUUCCUGUAGUUUGUAGUUUAAUUAUCAAAAUAUGCUGCACUUCUGCACUGAUUCCCUCUCCUGAAAGCUCCUUCUUUAGCAUCCUGCAGUUCUCUAUGACCUCAGAGGGUAAAGCUCUUAAGUUGCCCUUGAAGACAAAAAGAGAAAGUCUUGUCUGAGGUGAAGUCAGUAUCUAUCCAAUUUUCAGCUGCCGUCACAUCGAAAUGAGAAAUCUGAAGCAGAGCCAGGCACAAAUAGCUGAUAACAGACUUUCAGGUGCACCUCUUCACUUAUCACUUCUAGGGUCACCUCUGUUUCUAAAGACUUGUUUUCCUUAAAAAAAGAUUGCUUAGGACAUUUAACAGUGUGGUGUUGUGAUAACAAAACCCUGUGAGGCUUUAGUUUUAUGCCUGGGCUGCUGCAGAGAUGCAGAGUCUCCUAAUGCCAGUAGUCCUGAAUUCGUUUCUGAAAUUAUUUCAUGAAUUAAACCAGUGAGAGCAGAGAAGGCAGAGCUCUCCCUGCAGGAUGUUUCCUGCCCCGCCGGGCACUGCAGGAUGGUUGUGGCUGUGACAUGACAGUGGCAGGCUGUUGCAUGUCCCCUGGUGCGGGUCUCAUCCCCUUCCCCGUUGGGUUCUCCUCACCCUGUGGGAUAGAAUGGGGCUCUCUGAGGGCCAAGCUGAGCUGGGAGCAGAAAGAGAGUUAUGAAGUGACGGAGACACAACUUGUUUUGAAACAGGGUGCUUGGCACAUACGGAAAGAUGCACACAGA